CGAGGAUUUCAAACAAUGAAGGAUUAUAGACAGCCAAAUAUGAAGUAAAGGAAACACAGUUCAAAUUUGCCGAUUUUUUACAACAUGUGACUGCCUCAGGAUGAGUGGCUAAAGGCAACCUAUAUUUGUACUACCGGACGUACUAAUGGUUGUAGGCGGAGCUUGGCGUUUUGCCAUAUAGAACCAAGAAGAGCGGGUUGUCAUGACAAUAAGCACCGAGAUUUGUCACCGAUUGAAUUUCAGAGCUUGGAAUCGGAACAUGCAUUCUGUGGAAGGUUCAUUGAUUUAAAAGCCACUGCUCAAUCCAUCUAAUUCCUAAGCUACUACCAGAAUCUCUGGAGCACGGUUUGGAUGAUUAACCGUCUGAGGUAAAUAGACUUAGCUUGCAGGAGGUGUUGACUUAAUUUGGAUAUUACCUGUCACUCUCACUACGGAAUAGAGGGCUUCGGACAGUUUCGAAUGAAGAAAAAAUUAUCAGGUGUAUAAGUAAUUAGUAGUGAUGGAGACCUUGGAAUCUUUUACAAAGACCACAGAGGAGAUAAUGACAUAUACUUCUACAGCCUGUCAGUUUUAAUGUCGCUGGGCUUCCUGUCGCUGCCUUCAGACGCCAGGCUUAGCUCUUCAUUGCACCAAUAGUAAUGUGGAAACUGGGCGUUCGAUAUUCAUCUCCGAGCAACAUAAGAAAGCUUCGGAAGUGUGUCGAACAAGAACCGCUAUUGUCGCUCUUGUAAUAGGAUAACAACGAACGCA